AUGUUGCAUGGCGUCGAUUCGCGUGCUCAUGCAUGGUCACCCGACGAGCCCGUCGCGCCGAGCAUCUCCACUGCUCGGUCCGCUACGCCAGCGAUCGCCGAGUUUCCAGCGGCUCGGCCUUUUUCGCCAGCGGCCGCCGAGUCGCCCGCGGCUCGACCCGUCACGCCGUCUUCGCCUGCGGCUCGGCCCGUCACGCCGUCUUCGCCCGCGGCUCGGGUCCUCAUGUCGCCUUCAUCCGCGGAUCGGCCCGCGACACCGGCCGCGCCACGGCCCACUAUGCCGAGCUCGCCAACGGCCCGGUCUGUGAUGCCGGAGUCACCAGCUGCUUCGUCUGCUCUGCCGGUUUCGCCGGUGGGCCGGCCUUCUUCGUCGACCGAGUCCGAGGCUACCGUGACUGGCUCCUCGUCACCGGCUGACUCGUCAACGUCGCCGUCCUCCAGCCCGUUGCAGGCUGCUCCGUCGACCUCGGUGGUUCCUGUGUCCCGACCACAUACACGCAGUCGCAGUGGCAUUUUCAAACCUAAGGAACGUAAGGAUGGUACGGUUGCUUGGUUGGCUGCUUGUUUGACUGCUGCUGUUGCGGAUCCAUCUUCUGAGCCUCGCUCAUAUCAGGCUGCCCUGCGCAUUCCACAUUGGCGAGAGGCUAUGGAGCAGGAGUUUCAUGCUCUUCUUCGUAACAAGACAUGGACUCUCGUUCCUCCACCACCACGGGUAAAUGUUAUUGACUCAAAAUGGGUAUUCAAAGUGAAGAAGCAUUCGGAUGGAUCUAUUGAGCGUUACAAAGCACGACUUGUUGCUCGCGGUUUUCGGCAGCGUCAUGGUCUUGACUAUGAGGACACCUUCAGUCCUGUCGUCAAGCCUACCAUUAUUCGGCUUCUUCUCUCCAUUGCUGUUUCUCGUGGUUGGUCACUUCGUCAACUUGAUGUGCAGAAUGCUUUUCUACAUGGAUUUUUGGAGGAAGAGGUUUAUAUGAAACAGCCGCCUGGUUUCUCUGAUCCUGAUCGUCCUGACUAUAUCUGUCGUCUUUCCAAAGCACUAUAUGGUUUGAAGCAAGCUCCUCGUGCCUGGCAUGCCCGCCUUGCCUCUGCCCUUCGUGCUCAUGGGUUUGUGCCGUCCACUGCUGACACUUCAUUAUUUCUUCUACAGAAGCCAGAAGUCACUAUGUACCUUUUGGUAUAUGUCGAUGAUAUUAUCCUUGUCAGCUCUUCUCAGUAUGCUGCUAAUGCUCUUGUCUGCUCUCUUGGUGCUGAUUUUGCGGUCAAAGAUCUUGGGAAGCUUCACUACUUUCUUGGAGUUGAGGUCACUUCUCGUGCUACUGGUCUUGUCCUUACGCAGAAGAAGUACUCCUUGGAGUUGUUACAAAGAGCUGGCAUGCUGAAGUGCAAACCGACCACCACACCCAUGUCGUCUACCGACAAGAUAACAGUUGUUGAUGGUGAGCUUUUGUCUCCUGCGGAUGCCACAGAGUACAGGAGCAUUGUUGGUGGACUUCAGUACUUGACGAUCACGAGACCAGAUAUCUCUUAUGCUGUUAACAGGGUUUGUCAGUAUCUUCAGGCUCCCAGAGAUACUCAUUGGGCUGCUGUUAAACGCAUUCUUCGUUAUGUUCAGUUCACCCUGACAUUUGGUAUGCAUAUUCGGCCGACUUCCUCUCGGGUCCUUUCGGCCUUCUCUGAUGCAGAUUGGGCUGGUAGCCCAGAUGACAGGCGAUCCACGGGGGGUUAUGCAGUAUUCUUUGGCUCUAAUUUGAUCGCCUGGAGUGCUCGGAAACAGGCUACUGUGUCACGUAGCAGUACUGAAGCUGAGUACAAGGUUGUGGCUAAUGCUACUGCAGAGAUUAUUUGGGUGCAGUCUUUGCUUCAGGAGUUGGGUUUGUCUCAACCACAGCCUCCUAUUCUUUGGUGUGAUAACAUCGGUGCUACAUACCUUUCUGCAAAUCCAGUAUUUCAUGCCCGAACGAAACACGUUGAAGUUGACUAUCACUUUGUACGGGAACGUGUAUCGCAGAAGCAACUCCAGAUCAAGUUUAUCUCAUCUAAGGAUCAACUUGCAGACAUCUUCACUAAGCCUUUACCGCUGCCACAGUUUGAGGCUUGUAGGCGCAAUCUUACCCUUCUCAGUUCUUUAGAAAGUGGCUAA
rnacentral:rRNA from 1 species